UUAAGGUUACAAUUGCCAUUUUACAUUAAAUGCGAAAAAUAAACGUCGUAUUAUUUACUACGUAUUAAAGUGUAUAAACAAUGAUAAAGUAAAAUCGAUGCAAAUUGUGUGCUCGUGUGUUAAAGGUCGUCACUACUGAGUGAUGAAAAUUGAAAAUUGGAUAAAGAUAAAAAGAUUCAAACAGAUAAUAAAUAUGGCAACCACUUAUUGGUUUUUAAGUAAUUGUAUCCUACUGUGGAGUUAGAAUUAGUCCUCUUUCUUUCAAGUGGAAACAAAUAAAGAUGAGUGUGGCUUCUCUCAAGACAUUGUCUAUUCAAGUUGUCAGG